CCUAGCAGGGUGAACAGCAAACACAAUGUCCUGAGGCAGAAGUAGUCGUAAUAUGUUUCUGAAAACAAGGAGACCAGUGUGGACAGAGUGAGAUUAGUGGAGAGAAGGAGAAGUCAUUCAGAUAGGGAAGGAGGGGUUAGAUGAUAUAUAGCCUUAUAAGCUUUUUAAGGACUUGAAAUUUUAUUUGGAGUGAUACGAGAAGCCAAUCCGUGAUAUUGAGCAGAAGGAUGAUACGACCUGACUUCUAUCUUUGUUUUUUAGGCUAGUCAUGUGAAGCCGUGGGAGUGGGGAAGGCUGACUUCUGUCUUAAAGGCUUACUCUGGAUCAUAAUGUUGAGUGAAGGCUGUCAGGAGACAAAGAGGAUAAAAUGAGAAGAUAGCAAUCUGCAAACCAAGAAGCAGACCCUCAUCAGACACUGGCACCUUGAUUUUGGACUUCCCAGCCUCCAGAACUGUGAGAAAUAAAC
rnacentral:lncRNA from 10 species